rnacentral:rRNA from 1 species
GGAUUAGAUACCCUGGUAGUCCGCGCCGUAAACGAUGCACACUAGAUCGUGGCACCUCUCACGGUGUCACGGUCGAAGGUAAACUGAUUAGUGUGCCGCCUGGGGAGUACGGUCGCAAGGCUAAAACUCAAAGGAAUUGACGGGGGCUCACACAAGCGGUGGAGCAUGUUGCUUAAUUCGAGACAACGCGAAGAACCUUACCUGGGUUUGACAUGUAUGGAUUAACUCUCUGAAAGGAGAGCCACGCCCUUUGGGUGCAACAUACACAGGUGCUGCAGGGCUGUCGUCAGCUCGUGUCG